AACUUUAUAGUCAUCAAUGAUAUUAGACUGCAAUUCUAAAGGAGUAGUAAAGCUACUAAGGUUU
rnacentral:tRNA from 1 species